rnacentral:tRNA from 1 species
GCCAGAGUGGCGGAAUUGGUAUACGCUGCGGUCUCAAAAACCGUUGUCCUUCGGGACGUGUGGGUUCAAGUCCCACCUCUGGCA